UACGAAGGGGGCUAGCGUUGCUCGGAAUCACUGGGCGUAAAGGGCGCGUAGGCGGAUCUUUAAGUCGGGGGUGAAAGCCUGUGGCUCAACCACAGAAUUGCCUUCGAUACUGGGGAUCUCGAGACCGGAAGAGGUGAGUGGAACUGCGAGUGUAGAGGUGAAAUUCGUAGAUAUUCGCAAGAACACCAGUGGCGAAGGCGGCUCACUGGUCCGGUUCUGACGCUGAGGCGCGAAAGCGUGGGGAGCGAACAGG
rnacentral:rRNA from 1 species